rnacentral:rRNA from 1 species
ACGAACGCUGGCGGCGUGCUUAACACAUGCAAGUCGCACGGAAAGGCCCUGCUUUUGUGGGGUGCUCGAGUGGCGAACGGGUGAGUAACACGUGAGUAACCUGCCCUUGACUUUGGGAUAACUUCAGGAAACUGGGGCUAAUACCGGAUAGGAGCUCCUGCUGCAUGGUGGGGGUUGGAAAGUUUCGGCGGUUGGGGAUGGACUUGCGGCUUAUCAGCUUGUUGGUGGGGUAGUGGCUUACCAAGGCUUUGACGGGUAGCCGGCCUGAGAGGGUGACCGGCCACAUUGGGACUGAGAUACGGCCCAGACUCCUACGGGAGGCAGCAGUGGGGAAUAUUGCACAAUGGGCGGAAGCCUGAUGCAGCAACGCCGCGUGCGGGAUGACGGCCUUCGGGUUGUAAACCGCUUUCGCCUGUGACGAAGCGUGAGUGACGGUAAUGGGUAAAGAAGCACCGGCUAACUACGUG